AUGAGUAACGAUAAAGGGAGUGAAAAACUCCCUCGCCGGAAGACCAAGGGUUCCUGUCCAACGUUAAUCGGGGCAGGGUAAGUCGACUCCUAAGGCGAGGCCGAAAGGCGUAGUCGAUGGGAAACAGGUUAAUAUUCCUGUACUUCUUACAAUUGCGAUGGGGGGACGGAGAAGGCUAGGUGGGCCUGGCGACGGUUGUCCAGGUUCAAGUAUGUAGGCGGAAAGUUUAGGUAAAUCCGGACUUUCUUUAACGCUGAGAUACGAUGUCGAGCUACUACGGUAGUGAAGUCAUUGAUGCCAUGCUUCCAGGAAAAGCCUCUAAGCUUCAGAUUGUAAGGAAUCGUACCCCAAACCGACACAGGUGGUCGGGUA
rnacentral:rRNA from 1 species